AGAAACAGAAUUUUCUAUCUUCAUUUCAAUACCAGUACUCAUCUCCAGGACCUCAUGAUGAAGGCCUAGCAUUUCUUGUACCUGUUAUUGCAACUGAUACUUUACAGAAGCGUGAUAUAAGGAGCUCUUCCCUGAUGCUAUAGAUCCUACCAGGGAGUAUUUUUCACUGGAAACCGGACACAGGAAUGCAGGUUUUGGCUGAUUCCUCACUUUCUGCUAGGCUCUGUGCUGGUGUGAAGUUUCCUCUCUGUUGGGGAGCUCUGCUCUGUCCUUCCCC